GGUAUGUAAAGCUCUAUCAGCAGGGAAGAAAAUGUCGGUACCUGACUAAGAAGCCCCGGUUAACUACGUGCCAGCAGCCGCGGUAAUACGUAGGGGGCAAGCGUUAUCCGGAUUUACUGGGUGUAAAGGGAGCGUAGACGGCGAAGCAAGUCUGAAGUGAAAACCCAGGGCUCAACCCUGGGACUGCUUUGGAAACUGUCUUGCUAGAGUGUCGGAGAGGUAAGUGGAAUUCCUAGUGUAGCGGUGAAAUGCGUAGAUAUUAGGAGGAACACCAGUGGCGAAGGCGGCUUACUGGACGAUAACUGACGUUGAGGCUCGAAAGCGUGGGGAGCAAACAGGAUUAGAUACCCUGGUAGUCCACGCCGUAAA
rnacentral:rRNA from 1 species